rfam:Aspergillus versicolor CBS 583.65 unplaced genomic scaffold ASPVEscaffold_1, whole genome shotgun sequence.
UUGAAUGAUGAUAUACUCCUGAUAGGGACAUCCGAUGCAAACGCAAGUGAUGUGAAAUCAGAAGAGAGAAUUUUAGUAGAUGCCUCUCGUUAUCUGAUA